CAGUCGCCGCGGGAAUACGUAGGGUGCGAGCGUUAAUCGGAAUUACUGGGCGUAAAGCGUGCGCAGGCGGUUAUAUAAGACAGUUGUGAAAUCCCCGGGCUCAACCUGGGAACUGCAUCUGUGACUGUAUAGCUAGAGUACGGUAGAGGGGGAUGGAAUUCCGCGUGUAGCAGUGAAAUGCGUAGAUAUGCGGAGGAACACCGAUGGCGAAGGCAAUCCCCUGGACCUGUACUGACGCUCAUGCACGAAAGCGUGGGGAGCAAACAGGAUUAGAUACCCGAGUAGUCCCUGUCUCUUCUAC
rnacentral:rRNA from 1 species